rnacentral:rRNA from 1 species
GAGCCGGGGCCUAAGCCGAGGCCGAAGGGCGUAGGCGAUGGAUAACGGGUUGAAAUUCCCGUGCUGCCUCGGUCGCGCUUGAGCGAAGCGGGGACGCAGAAGGGUAGGCACAGCAGGCUGAUGGAAUAGCCUGUCCAAGCGAGUAGGGCGCCGCGUAGGCAAAUCCGCGCGGCAGAGAGCCCAAGACGCGAGUGGGUGCGGAUACGUCCGCUGAACUGGCCGAUCCCAAGCUGCCAAGAAAAGCCGCUAGCGAGCGACCAGGCACCCGUACCGCAAACCGACACAGGUAGGCGAGGAGAGGAUCCUAAGGCGCGCGAGAGAACCCCCGUUAAGGAACUCGGCAAAAUGGCCCCGUAACUUAGGGAUAAGGGGCGCCCCGGUAGGGUGAAGGGCAACACGCCCGUAGCCUGAGGGGGCCGCAGUGAAACGGCCCGAGCGACUGUUUACCACAAACACAGGUCUCUGCUAAGUCGCAAGACGAAGUAUAGGGGCUGACGCCUGCCCAGUGCCGGAAGGUUAAGGGGAGGGCUUAGCGGCAACGCGAAGGUCUGAACCGAAGCCCCGGUGAACGGCGGCCGUAACUAUAACGGUCCUAAGGUAGCGAAAUUCCUUGUCGGGUAAGUUCCGACCUGCACGAAUGGCGUAACGACUUGGGCGCUGUCUCAACGAGGGACUCGGCGAAACUGUAAGUGCACGUGAAGAUACGUGCUACCCACGACUAGACGGAAAGACCCCAUGGAGCUUUACUGCAUCCUGAGAUUGGAUUUUGGCAGGGCAUGUACAGGAUAGGUGGGAGGCUGAGAAGCAACGACGCUAGUGGUUGCGGAGCCACCCUUGGGAUACCACCCUUGUUUUGCUGGAGUUCUAACCCGCGGCCGUGAUCCGGCUGGGGGACAUUCUCAGGUGGGCAGUUUGACUGGGGCGGUCGCCUCCUAAAAGGUAACGGAGGCGCCCCAAGGUUCCCUCAGCGCGGUUAGAAAUCGCGCGCAGAGUGCAAAGGCAGAAGGGAGCUUGACUGCGAGACGUACAUGUCGAGCAGGGACGGAAGUCGGGCUUAGCGAUCAGGUGGUUCCGAGUGGAAGGGCCAUCGCUCAACGGAUAAAAGCUACCCUGGGGAUAACAGGCUUAUCUCUCCCAAGAGUCCAUAUCGACGGGGAGGUUUGGCACCUCGAUGUCGGCUCGUCGCAUCCUGGAGCUGAAGUAGGUUCCAAGGGUUGGGCUGUUCGCCCAUUAAAGCGGCACGCGAGCUGGGUUCAGAACGUCGUGAGACAGUUCGGUCCCUAUCUGUCGUGGGCGUAGGAGAUUUGAGGGGGUCGGUUCCUAGUACGAGAGGACCGGGACGGACGCACCUCCGGUGGACCGGUUGUCGCGCCAGCGGCAUAGCCGGGUAGCCGCGUGCGGUUUGGAUAAGCGCUGAAAGCAUCUAAGCGCGAAGCCAUCCCCAAGAUGAGAUCUCCCACAGGGUAACCUGGUAAGACUCCUCGAAGAACACGAGGUUGAUAGGCCGGAAGUGUAAGCGCGGCAACGCGCUGAGCGUACCGGUACUAAUAGGUCGAGGGCUUGAUC